CUCAAUUGUGGCUUCUCUUUAUCUUGAAAGAGCAGCAGCUAAUGACUAAAACGGGCUGGCUUUAUCCUGGCAGGUGAUAGACCACUGGACAGUGACUGCACCCUCACCAGGGACACGCGGCCUCCCAAGGGUCAGCGCUCCCGCCACACGGGGCGGCUGGUUCAGUGAGUGACUCCUUUGGUCAGCAGAGGCAAGGGGCAGGGGCCCCAGGUCCUGCCAGCUCUGUGGCUUCCGGGGUUCCUCUGGAGGCCUCAGCUUCAUCCAUGCGAGCAGAGACGAAUAACAAGGGAAAGGUCACCCACAGAGGAUUAAAGCAGUGGCCACAAAGACAUCCACUGAUCCCCAGGAAGCCAGGCACUGCCCUCCUGCCACCAUCUUCAGAUCCCAUAAUAGUGGGGGAACGUUCUGUGGCCCUCCUGACCACAUGCACUGUGCUAACGGCUUUGUUUUUAUCCCUUUAUUAAAUUGUCACAACUCUGUAAGACACCCCACUUUACAGCCAAGAAGACAGAGGCUCGAAGAGGUGAAGUAGCUUUCAGAGCUUUGCAAAGCUAGCAAGUUGCAGAGCCUGGCUUUAAACCCAGAUUUAACUGUCAUCCAAAGCCCUGCUCUAGCCUUAACUGCUGUGUGUGCUGCUGUGGUUGUGAAACUAUGAUGCGGUGAAAACGAAUAUGGGCCCGACCAGGCAGAAAGAAUGUCCUAAUGUGGAGAGUUACGAAGCCUUAGAGCAGCUCCCGAGGAAGAAACAAAGCCACCUCUUAUGAGCUUAUUCCGCCCCCUGCAAAAAGGAAGGCCCUGGGCAGUGUGUUCCCUGCCAGCAACCCCACCCACUAACAGAUGUUUAACUGAGCACCUCCUAUAUGCCAGGAACAGCUGGGAACAAGACCAAACCCUCACUCUAAUGAAUUUGAGCCCUAGGAGGAGAGAAGCAGCAAGUUGACCACACGCAAAUCAUGCUGGCUGCUGGCUGCAGAAUGAACCACAGAGGGGCAGCAAGGAAACCAAACCCAUGGGCCACUGGACACCAGAUCCAAGCAAGAGGGGACGUGGCCUGCCUUCACGGACAGUCCGUCCUGCUGAUGUAUGGCCUCCUUCUGUCUGACAUCUGCAUUGGAGGGAUCAAGAAGACGACAUAUGCAGACUGCAGGCCCUCAAGAUGUAAGCUGCGGUUGGAAGAGUGGAUUCUGGAUUCGGACUUGGAUCCUGCCUCCAGGAGGCUCCUGCACACUUUACACUUGUUUCCUCAAAUGUGGAAUGAAGAUAACAACAGCACCUACCUCACGGGUGUGAGGCUGAAAUAAAAUGCUGCAUGUGGACAGCUUAGUGUGGAACCUGGCAAUAAACUUCAACUGUUAUCUCCA
rnacentral:lncRNA from 13 species